AUUGAACGCUGGCGGCAGGCCUAACACAUGCAAGUCGAACGAGUGGCGGACGGGUGAGCAAUGUCUGGGAAAGUGCCUGAUGGAUGGGGUUAACUACCGGAAACGGUAGCCAAUACCGCAUACCAUCGGAUGUGCCCAGAUGGGAUUAGCUAGUAGGUGGGGUAAAGGCUCACCUAGGCGACGAUCCUUAGCUGGUCUGAGAGGAUGACCAGCCCCACUGGAACUGAGACACGGUCCAGACUCCUACGGGAGGCAGCAGUGGGGAAUAUUGCACAAUGGGCGCAAGCCUGAUGCAGCCAUGCCGCGUGUCUGAAGAAGGCCUUCGGGUUGUAAAGGACUUUCAGCUGGGAGGCGUUACCAACAGAAGAAGCACCGGCUAACUCCGUGCCAGCAGCCGCGGUAAUUC
rnacentral:rRNA from 1 species